rnacentral:tRNA from 1 species
GCCGGCGAGCUUGGGUAGCGCUGCGGUCUCCAAAACCGUUUGCCGGGGGCUCGACUCCCUCCGCCGGUG